GUGAUUUCUGGUUUGUGUUUGUGUUAUAUACUCUGAAAUUAGCACAAAUUUAGUGGUCAUUUAAUCUCUGUUUUGAAUUGAAAUCUUUAGAAUUGUUAGGGAUAGAUUAUAUAUCUGAAUUAGGUCAUUUAUGACAUUAUUUUGUUUUACUUGAAGCUCCAAUAAUUGAUUUCUAGAACAGCUAAUAUCGUUGCAAGCAUUAUAAUUUAAUUUAACGCUGAAUUUCCUCAAAAAAAAAAAAAACAAUAAAAAUAAAUAAAUUAAAAGCUGAAAUUGUAUUUAAAUUGAAAGCAUCAGUUUGUAGACUCUGAUUUCUUACAACUCUUGGAAUAAUGAGUUGCAAAGGUUUAAUAAGUUUAGUGACAUCUUCGACAGCAAAAAGUAUGUCGCAACUUAAGAAAUUGAGUAUAAGCGAAUGUAAUGAAAUGAAGGAAAUAGUAUCAAAUGAUGGAGAUAGCACGGAAGAUGAAAUUAUCUUCAUCUGAUUAGAAAAUUUGGAAAUGCACUGUUUACCGAGCCUUGCCAGCUUCUCCUCAGGGAAACAGCAUCUGAAAUUCCCGUCCUUGACAGAAGUAAUUGCCAGUCAAUGCCCGAAAUUGCAGGUUUUUUCAAAUGAAUCAGUAAGCACCCCAACGCUUCAGACAGUAAUGCUGACAAGAGAAAAGGAUAGAACAUAGAGAAGUUGUUUAUAGGGAUGCACCCCGACGCUUCAGAGAGUAAUGCUGACAAGAGAAAAUGAUAGAACAUGUUUGAAUGGCGAUUUUAACACCACCAUAGAUAAUUUGUUUAUAGGGAUGCACCCCAACGCUUCUGAGAAUAAUGCUGACGAGAAAAUGAUAGAACGUGUUGGAAUGGCGAUCUUAACACCACCAUAGAGAAGUUGUUUAUAGGGAUGGUUGGAUCCUGAGAGCUACCACAGUUGAAGCUCUCUGAAUUGUCUUCCUUGGAGAAAAUUACUACAGUAAACUACCCAAAAAUUGAGUUGGCCACUUUAGUUCCAUUGAUUGUUGGUGCAUCUCAAAAUCUGACAAUUCCGGAAGUAUCAAAAUGUCGGGAACUAAAAAAUCUGAUAACUUCCUCAACAGAUAAAAGUCCAGUGAAACUCGUGAGGUCAUAAUCUAACAAUUCAGGAAAUAUAAAAAUGUCGGGAACUAAAAAAUCUGAUAACUUCCUCAACAGCUAAAAGUCCGAUGAAACUCGUGAGGACAGAAGAAAAGGAUGGGGAAUGGAAAUCUUAAUUCCACCAUACAACAGUUGUAUACAGAAAUGAAUGCGGAGGAAUGGUGAUCGAUCAGCUCAAGCAGAAGUACCCAAUGCUCUUUAUGUUUGUUCUCUUUUAUUAUCUAUUAUAAUUUUUAGCAAUUGUUAUUACUUUUUUUAAGGGAAUAUUUGUCAGCAAUUAAGUUGUCCAACUUAGUUUGAAGAGCAACUCUGAUACAAGUUUUUUU